rnacentral:piRNA from 1 species
UAAAAUGUCUUUGAAAACUAAGGUGAAG